rnacentral:tRNA from 1 species
GGAGUAUUAGCUCAGUUGGUUUAGAGCGCUGCCUUGACAGGGCAGAGGUCACUGGUUCGAAUCCAGUAUACUCCACGA